rnacentral:lncRNA from 1 species
AUGUCCAGCCAUGUGACUCUCCAGGUCCCAGCACACCCCCUGGAGGCCUUUGUCCACGAGGUCAGCAAUGUUCAACGGACACAUGUGGGGGCAUCCGAAGCCCUGCAGGCUGUGCACACACUCCCACCUGAGCAGAGUGGUGACACCCCCAGCUCUCCAGCCCAGGUUGUCCUGCCUAAGCAGGGGGACUUUCUCAAUUCCUCAGCAAAAGCCGUCCUGUCCAACCAGGCUGACACUCCCAGUUUCCCAGAAAAGACCAUCCUAUCAAAAGAGAGGGAAAUUCUCGAUUCCCCCCAGCAGAACAUUUUGCCCAAGCAGGCUACCACCCUCAAUUCCUCAAUCCAAACCAUUUCACCAAAACAGGGUAACAUUCCCAAUUUCCCAGAAAAAACCAUCCUGCCAAAAGAGGGUGACAUUCUCAAUCCCCCCAGUAAAACUACCCUGCACAAGCAGGCCAACACCCCCAAUUCUUCGGAAAAACCACCUUGCCCAAGCAGGGCGACACCCCUAAGCCCUCAGCCAAAACCAUUUUGCCCAAGGAGGCUGAUGCCCCCAUCUCCCCAAUCCAAACCAUUCUGCCCAAUCAGUCUUAUGCCUCCAAAUUCUCAGAAAAAACCAUCUCGACAAAAGAGAGUGACAUUUUCAACACCCCAGCCAAAGUCAUUCCAUCAUGGCCGGCUGACUCCCCCAAUUUCCCAGCCAAGAUCAAUCCAUCACGGCAGGCUGACUCCCCCAAGUUCCCAGCCAAGAUCAUCUUACCCAAACAGGCUGACUCCUCUAACUCCCCAAACCAAAUCCUCCCACCCAAGCAGACUGACUCCCCCAGUUUCCCAGGCAAAAUCAUUUCAUCACAGCAGGCUGACUCCCCCAAAUUCCCACUCAAAACUGCCCUGCACAGGCAGGUGGACAUCCCCACUUCUUCAGAAAAAAACAUCUCACCCAAGCAGGACAAUACCCCCAAUUUUCCAGCAAAAUUCAGUUUGCCCAAGAAGAGUAAAACCCACAAGUUCACAACCAAAGCCAUUCUGUCUAAGCAGGGUGACACCCCAAAGUCCUCAGCCAAAACCAUCGUGCCCAAGGAGGGUGAGACCCCCAAGCCCUCAGCCAAAACCAUUCUGCCCAAGGCGGGUGAGAUCCCCAAGUCCUCAGCCGAAACCAUUCUGCCCAAGGAGGGUGAGACCCUCAAGUCCUCAGCCAAAACCAUUCUGCCCAAGGAAGGUCAGACUCCCAAGUCCUCAACCAAAACCAUUCUACUCAAGGAAGGUGAGACCCCCAAGUCCUCAGCUGAAACCAUUCUGCCCAAGGAGGGUGAGACCCCCAAGUCCUCAGCUGAAACCAUUCUGCCCAAGGAGGGUGAGACCCCCAAGUCCUCAGCUGAAACCAUUCUGCCCAAGGAGGGUGAGACCCCCAAGUCCUCAACCGAAACCAUUCUACUCAAGGCGGGUGAGACCACCAGGUCCUUAG